CGGUCGGGACAGGUCAGAAUAUAUCAGCCACACUGACGAACACCAGACCAGCUAGUGAGCAGGCUGAAGCUGCAUGGACUAUAUGUGUGUGUGUUUACCGUAUCCUGUGUGCGUUCUUGAGGAAAUACCACACACCUAAUACACACAUGUUUUAAAGAACUGUAUUAAAAAAGACAAAAGGA